UCGGGAAUUUUGGGCAAUGGGCGAAAGCCUGACCCAGCAACGCCGCGUGAAGGAUGAAGUAUUUCGGUAUGUAAACUUCGAAAGAAUAGGAAGAAUAAAUGACGGUACUAUUUAUAAGGUCCGGCUAACUACGUGCCAGCAGCCGCGGUAAUACGUAGGGACCAAGCGUUGUUCGGAUUUACUGGGCGUAAAGGGCGCGUAGGCGGCAAUUCAAGUCAUCUGUGAAAUCUCCGGGCUUAACUCGGAACGGUCAGAUGAUACUGCUUUGCUAGAGUGCAGAAGGGGCAAUCGGAAUUCUUGGUGUAGCGGUGAAAUGCGUAGAUAUCAAGAGGAACACCUGAGGUGAAGACGGGUUGCUGGGCUGACACUGACGCUGAGGCACGAAAGCGUGGGGAGCAAACAGGAUUAGAUACCCACGUAGUCCCUGAGCGGGCUGGCAAGGCGCAU
rnacentral:rRNA from 1 species